AUUGAACGCUGGCGGCAGGCCUAACACAUGCAAGUCGAGCGAGCGGCGGACGGGUGAGGAAUGUAUGGGGAUCUGCCUGAUGGAGGGGGAUAACUACUGGAAACGGUGGCUAAUACCGCAUACUAUCGGAUGAACCCAUAUGGGAUUAGCUAGUCGGUGGGGUAAAGUCUCACCUAGGCGACGAUCCAUCGCUGGUCUGAGAGGAUGACCAGCCACACUGGAACUGAGACACGGCCCAGACUCCUACGGGAGGCAGCAGGGGGGAAUAUUGCACAAUGGGCGCAAGCCUGAGGCAGCGAUGCAGAGUGUAUGAAGAAGGCCUUAGGGUUGUAAAGUACUUUCAGCGGGGAGGCGUUACCCGCAGAAGAAGCACCGGCUAACGCCGUGCCAGCCGCCGCGGUAAUAC
rnacentral:rRNA from 1 species